rnacentral:rRNA from 1 species
CUCUCAGCUUAUUUUGCGCAGCUUAGGUGGGAGGCUAUGAACCUUUUCUUCUGGGAAGAGGGGAGCCGUCAGUGAGAUACCACUCUUGGUAAGCUAGAGCGCUCAGUCUUAACCGUCAUCCGGUAAGACGACAGUUUCAGGCGGGCAGUUUGACUGGGGCAGUCACCUCCCAAAAGGUAAUGGAGGUGUGCAAAGGUUCCCUCAGGCUGGACGGAAAUCAGCCAUAGAGUGUAAAAGCAAAAGGGAGCUUGACUGCGAGACUGACAUGUCAAGCAGAGACGAAAGUCGGCUUUAGUGAUCCGACGGUGCUGUGUGGAAAGGCCGUCGCUCAACGGAUAAAAGUUACUCUAGGGAUA